rnacentral:rRNA from 1 species
UACGUAGGGUGCGAGCGUUAAUCGGAAUUACUGGGCGUAAAGGGAGCGUAGGCGGACUGUUAAGUUAGAGGUGAAAGCCCAGGGCCCAACCUUGGAAUUGCCUUUGAUACUGGCAGUCUUGAGUACGGAGGAGGUAUGUGGAACUCCGAGUGUAGAGGUGAAAUUCGUAGAUAUUCGGAAGAACACCAGUGGCGAAGGCGACAUACUGGUCCGUUACUGACGCUGAGGCUCGAAAGCGUGGGGAGCAAACAGG